GGAUCAUACUGCACUAUCCAGUCCUACAUGAAAGGAGGAAGAGAAAGAGGUUCAACGUUAACCAACUGAUAAAGAUAACUCUCAUGGUAUGCUUCUAGCCGAGAUUAAUUAGACUAGUUUUCUUGAUAAGGACCUCUGCUAGUAAAACUCAAAUCUAUCUUACCCUCAAUCCAUCUUUGUAAAGAUGGUUCAUAACAAAAUGCUAGACUAACCUACUGUUCUGAAUCUUUUUUAAGUAGGCCAGCUAAUGCUAGAUUAGAUGUUUGCCCUCUAAUAAUAAUACAAGGGGGAAUGCAUAGCCUCUGACAGAACUCCAUGUUCAAAAUUUUAAGGCAAAUAAUUUUCCAAACUUUCCCAAAAGCUGCUCUAGAUUUGUAAGUUGUAACUAAUUGCCAAAAACUUUAGUUCAUUGGUUUUCAAUGUAACAACAUAUGUCCACUAGAGGAAAGAAAAUACUAAGCGCACAUUUCCAUACUGUAAUACAACUACUGCAUCACAGUGUUAUGCUCCAUUCAUUACAAACAUGCUCUAAUUUCAUUAAUUUCAAAAUCCCUAUCCCUUGCCUUCUGCACUGAAUUCCUACUGAUUAACAAAUUUCUCCAUUAUUUAAGAAACAUAUUGCAACUACAAGUCUAAAUUCCUACAUUAAUGUUAUUAAACUUCUCUAGAGAGUGACUUAGGAGGCAGAAGAAGCAGUUUGGCUUCUGCAAUGAGCAACACAAAUUGCAUGUAUGCAAAUAUAUAAAAAUACAAUAUUGAAAAUACUGACUAAAACGAUUCAAUAACAAACGCCAACAAAAAGAAACACCAAAUUUACCAAAUGUAGUAUACUGAGGUCACCAUUACAACAGUUACAAGAGAGAACAUUAAAAGCAUAAGAAUCAUAGCCAGAAUAGCAAGUCAUGAAUCACUUGAACUCUUGAAGAAAGAUGCAUACCACAGCAGGAAUAUCAAGUCCACGAGCAG
rnacentral:misc_RNA from 1 species